rnacentral:rRNA from 1 species
GUGCCAGCAGCCGCGGUAAUACCGGCAGCUCAAGUGGUCGUCGCUUUUAUUGGGCCUAAAACGUCCGUAGCCUGUUUGGUAAAUCUGUGGGUAAAUCAACCAGCUUAACUGGUUGAAUUCUGCAGAGACUGCCAGACUAGGGACCGGGAGAGGUGUGGGGUACGCUCAGGGUAGGGGUAAAGUCCUGUCAUCCUGAGCGGACCACCUGUUGCGAAGGCGCCACACUAGAACGGAUCCGACGGUCAGGGACGAAGCCUAGGGGCACGAACCGGAUUAGAUACCCGGGUAGUCCUAGGUGUAAACGCUGAGGACUUGGUGUUGGGUAUUCUCCGAGGAUCCUCAUGCCGAAGCGAAGGUGAUAGGUCCACUGCUUGGGGAGUACGGUCGCAAGGCUGAAACUUAAAGUAAUUGGCGGGGGAGCACCGCAACCUGAGGAUUGUGCGGUUUAAUUAAUUCAACGCCGGAAAACUCACCAGUGCCGACGGACAAAUGAAAGCCAGUUUGAUGAGCUUGAUGGAUUGUUCGAGAGGUAGUGCAUGGCCGUCGUCAGUUUGUACCGUAAGGCGUUCUGUUAAGUCAGAUAACGAACGAGAUCCUCAUCCCUAUUUGCUAAGGUCAGUCCGCUGAUCACAGGACUAUAGGGAGACCGCUGGCGCGAAGUCAGAGGAAGGCGAGGGCAACGGUAGGUCAGUAUGCUCCGAAUGCACUGGGCUACACGCGCAAUACAAAGGACGGGACAAUGGGCCGCUGCGCCGAGAGGCAUGUGGCUAUCUCGAAACCCGCUCGUAGUUCGGAUUGAGGGCUGUAACCCGCCCCCAUGAAGCUGGAUUAGGUAGUAAUCGCGUCUCAACAAGGCGCGGUGAAUAUGCCCCUGCUCCUUGCACUCACCGCCCGUC